rnacentral:rRNA from 1 species
UACGUAGGGAGCAAGCGUUGUCCGGAAUUACUGGGUGUAAAGGGCGUGCAGCCGGGCUGACAAGUCAGAUGUGAAAUCCCGCGGCUCAACCGCGGAACUGCAUUUGAAACUGUCAGUCUUGAGUACCGGAGAGGUCAUCGGAAUUCCUAGUGUAGCGGUGAAAUGCGUAGAUAUUAGGAAGAACACCAGUGGCGAAGGCGGAUGACUGGACGACAACUGACGGUGAGGCGCGAAAGCGUGGGGAGCAAACAGG